AAUCAACGCUGGCGGCGUGCCUCAGACAUGCAAGUCGAACGAUUAAAGCUCUCUUCGGAGAGUGUAUAGAGUGGCGCACGGGUGAGUAACACGUAAGUAAUCUACCCUCGAGUGGGGAAUAACAACCGGAAACGGUUGCUAAUACCGCAUAAUGCAGCGGCACCGCAAGGUGACAGUUGUUAAAGAUUUAUCGCUUGAGGAGGAGCUUGCGGCAGAUUAGCUAGUUGGUAGGGUAACGGCUUACCAAGGCUACGAUCUGUAACCGGUCUAAGAGGACGGUCGGUCACACUGACACUGAAUAACGGGUCAGACUCCUACGGGAGGCAGCAGUCGGGAAUUUUGGGCAAUGGGCGAAAGCCUGACCCAGCAACGCCGCGUGAAGGAUGAAGUAUUUCGGUAUGUAAACUUCGAAAGAAUAGGAAGAAUUAAUGACGGUACUAUUUAUAAGGUCCGGNUAACUACGUG
rnacentral:rRNA from 1 species